UUAUGAAUAGCUUAGUGCCAUUCCCUUGGUAAUGAGUGGGUUCUCACUCAGUUAGUCACUAGAAAUCUGUUUGUUUAAAAGCGUGUGGCACUUUCUCCAUCUCUCUCUCUUGCUCCUGCUCUCACCAUGUGAUACACUGGUUCCCCAUUGGCUUCCGCUAUGAUUGUAAGUUUCCUGAGGCCCUCAGCAGAAGCAGAUGCCUCAUCAGAAGCAGAUUCCUGUACAGCCUGCAGAACCAAUCCCAUUUCACUACUGCACACCUACAGGAGCCCAGCUCUGUGAUAGGCUUUAUGGGGAAUCUUGAACAGACCGAAGACACUGUUCUCUCUGCCUGAAGCUGUGAUCUUGUGAGGAAAGGAGGCCUGAAGAGCAGGAGACUUCUCUCUGUAGCUUCAGGACAUCAUGGGUCAAGAAAUCAGGACUGACCACAUAAUGAGAGGAGUCAUGAGAGAUCAGGCGUGUAUGUAUGAGAAGAGAACUUUCCCAGGUUAACCUCACAUCUUCCUUGGGACACACGAAGGCAUGGCAAAGCAGGAUUGCCCCCAUAGCUCUUCUCAAGCAGUUUCCCUUUCCUCAUUUCCCUUUAGUGUUACUAUCUUUCAUAAAGAAUAAAGACUUGUCAGAGCUGAAAUCCCAGGCCUCAUCCCUCUGAGAAGUUUGUGUGCAUCCUUCCCAUGCACACUUUGUAUGUUUACUAUAUAUGUAUGUUUUUAUAAAUAAUAUAAACUCUUGUUUCAUGUAUUUAAAAAUUUUGCAGAUCUUUUCAUCAAGAUGUAAACAGGCAAGGCCAGAGACUGGGUCUUUCUUUGUGAACCCACCAGCCUUGUGAGUAGUUAGUGUAGCAUUUUCUCUUGACCAGGUUUGAGAACGCG
rnacentral:lncRNA from 1 species